CCAGACUCCUACGGGAGGCAGCAGUGGGGAAUAUUGGACAAUGGACCGAGAGUCUGAUCCAGCAAUUCUGUGUGCACGAUGAAGUUUUUCGGAAUGUAAAGUGCUUUCAGUUGGGAAGAAAAAAAUGACGGUACCAACAGAAGAAGUGACGGCUAAAUACGUGCCAGCAGCCGCGGUAAUACGUAUGUCACGAGCGUUAUCCGGAUUUAUUGGGCGUAAAGCGCGUCUAGGUGGUUAUGUAAGUCUGAUGUGAAAAUGCAGGGCUCAACUCUGUAUUGCGUUGGAAACUGUAUAACUAGAGUACUGGAGAGGUAAGCGGAACUACAAGUGUAGAGGUGAAAUUCGUAGAUAUUUGUAGGAAUGCCGAUGGGGAAGCCAGCUUACUGGACAGAUACUGACGCUAAAGCGCGAAAGCGUGGGUAGCAAACAGGAUUAGAUACCCUGGUAGUCCACGCUGUAAACGAUGAUUACUAGGUGUUGGGGGUCGAACCUCAGCGCCCAAGCAAACGCGAUAAGUAAUCCGCCUGGGGAGUACGUACGCAAGUAUGAAACUCAAAGGAAUUGACGGGGCCCGCACAAG
rnacentral:rRNA from 1 species